GAUCUUAUAGUCUAUUUAAAAGAUAUUAAAUUGCAAGUUUAAAGAAUAUUUUUAUAUAAGGUUU
rnacentral:tRNA from 1 species